UACGUAGGGGGCUAGCGUUGUCCGGAAUCAUUGGGCGUAAAGAGCGUGUAGGCGGCCCGGUAAGUCCGCUGUGAAAGUCGGGGGCUCAACCCUCGAAUGCCGGUGGAUACUGUCGGGCUAGAGUGCGGAAGAGGCGAGUGGAAUUCCUGGUGUAGCGGUGAAAUGCGCAGAGUAUCAGGAGGGAACACCGAUGGCGAAGGCAGUUCUCUGGGACGGUACUGACGACUGGAGACGCGAAAGCGUGGGGAGCGAACAGG
rnacentral:rRNA from 1 species